rnacentral:rRNA from 1 species
AUACAGAGGGUGCAAGCGUUAAUCGGAAUUACUGGGCGUAAAGCGCACGUAGGUGGUUCAUUAAGUCGGAUGUGAAAGCCCCGGGCUCAACCUGGGAACUGCAUUUGAAACUGGUGAGCUAGAGUAUGGUAGAGGUAAGUGGAAUUCCAGGUGUAGCGGUGAAAUGCGUAGAUAUCUGGAGGAACAUCAGUGGCGAAGGCGACUUACUGGACCAAUACUGACACUGAGGUGCGAAAGCGUGGGGAGCAAACAGGAUUAGAAACCCCAGUAGUCC